GGAAAACCAAGGUGGGGGUGGGGAGGAAUUUCCUUCUUGCUGGUUUUGAGGAAGAGUGAGCCUGGGAAGAUUGCGGGGGAUCCGAGGGGAAGGCGAGCGUUUGACGUCAUCGUGCGUGUGGUGCCCCUGCUGCCGGGGCUGGUGAUUGGAGGAAACCCCGUGUCUGCGGAGCGGCUGUAGCCUGUGAGCAGCGAGAUCCAGGGACACAGUCUCAGCCUCGCCGCUGCCGCCCAGAGACUGCUGAGCCCCCGUCCGUCCGUCCGCCGCCACCCACUCCGGGCACAG